CCAAAUUCCAUAAGAGGCAACCUCAAGACUGGAACUGUAUAUGAAAUAAGGGCUUUCUGAGAACUAUUAAUGUGACCCAGACACACAAAAUAUUUAGCUGGGAUCUUCUGUAAUUGCUGUAAAUUGUCUCCCUCUUGAGAACUGAAAACAUGUUUUUCUGUGAACAGCUGAGAUCAGAACUGGAGCAGCUCUGAAUUCUCCCCAACGACAGCACUGAGUAGUAAAUCUGGCACAUGAAAAAAUUGCCCCAUGGUCAAGUGGGGAAUGACUACACACCUGUGUAGGACAUGAUCUAACACUUUCUUUAUGGUCUCACAGUUAUGAAAAAUUGAGCCAUACAUAAAGUGGUGGUUUUCACGUA